GAUGAACGCUGGCGGCGUGCCUAAUACAUGCAAGUCGAGCGAACGGACGAGAAGCUUGCUUCUCUGAUGUUAGCGGCGGACGGGUGAGUAACACGUGGAUAACCUACCUAUAAGACUGGGAUAAAUUCGGGAAACCGGAGCUAAUACCGGAUGAUAUUUUGAACUGCAUGGUUCAAAAGUGAAAGACGGUCUUGCUGUCACUUAUAGAUGGAUCCGCGCUGCAUUAGCUAGUUGGUAAGGUAACGGCUUACCAAGGCAACGAUGCAUAGCCGACCUGAGAGGGUGAUCGGCCACACUGGAACUGAGACACGGUCCAGACUCCUACGGGAGGCAGCAGUAGGGAAUCUUCCGCGAUGGGCGAAAGCCUGACGGAGCAACGCCGCGUGAGUGAUGAAGGUCUUCGGAUCGUAAAACUCUGUUAUUAGGGAAGAACAUAUGUGUAAGUAACUGUGCACAUCUUGACGGUACCUAAUCAGAAAGCCACGGCUAACUACGUG
rnacentral:rRNA from 1 species